GAACAGAGGCGAGCAGCACAUCCGGGUACUUGGGCCUUGCGUAACACACCCGCCCCUUCGGGUCGAAUGCAGCCCCUUUAAUCUGACGCGACUCAUUCUACAGUGGGCCAGCCAUCUCAAAGCUGUUGAUACAUUGUUCAGUCCACGUGAAGGGCAGCAGGAGAGAGGAAGUGAAGAACCUAGGCAGUGAAGGAGACCAAGCAGAGAAACACUGAAUGGGCUAAAGAACUCCAGACAAUCUCAGAGCGGUGCAGCAUGAUGAAGGCAGAGUUGGCACAGAAUUUCAGGCAGCUGGAGCUUAAGAAGAAGCUGGAACCCAUGCUGCCUGUCCUGGACUUCAUCGCAUGGUCUCUGCUCAAACAUGACCAGGAUGUAGUUUCACAGCUUUGGGUCCUCAGUAAACAGCGAUCCUGGAGAACUUCAAAAUACAUUCCAAAUUCAUUGUGGAACUGGAUGUGCAGUGCUGUGGAUGUGCUGGCGACAGUGUGGGGGUGUACGGUUCCACCGCAGUCAUUACUGCUACUGGAUGCAGCUGCAGCGCCCUCGUCAGGCUUACAGACACGCUCCACCUCUUGUUUCCACUGAGCGAUAAACUUCACGCACUCCUUGAGACCGUGCAAAUUCCUCAGGUCUGGUGCUUGAGGUAAUUAAAAGAGAACAGAGGUUUAACAUUGAAUUAUAUUAAUAACAUAAAAUUCUGUGAUUAUGUGUCCUUUCAGAAUGAUUUGUGUACAGGGCAGAGGCCUCUGUAAAGGCCUCUGCAGGCUUCUGCAAAGGAUGGUGGGUAGGCUCCAGCACACUUACAAGUAUGAGAUAUUAUUUCCAUCAGGCUCAGGACCAUCUCUUUAGGAUAAGGUCAAGAGAAAUCUCUUGGAAUGUGGUGUUAACAGGUUCCAACUGGUGUGGGUGUUUUAUAUUAGUUUGCAUAUAUUGACAAAUGUAUGGUUUGGAUGCAAUGGACGUGAAGACAAACGCAAAUAUGUAAAGGAAUGUGGGGUGAAUACAUAAUCACUACUGAAAAAUGUAUGAAAAUGUGGGUUCUCUGAUUUUUAGACAUUCUCCAGAGGGUGCCUCAAUAAUGCGUGUUAAUGUUAACCUACAAUAAAGGACGUGCACAGUUAUGCUCUUUAACCAAUUCUGAAGUCUGCAUUUUUAUUUAAUAUUUGAAUUGAACUUUAAAACUAGCCGACUGGGCACCUAGGAACCACAUACUGUUGCUAUGUGCAGAGAUGUGGGCUUGCAGCCCAUUGUUGGGCAGAGUCCAUCGCACUGCUCCAAUAGACCUGCUCUGACUGCUACUUUCCCACGUCGGCAGUCGAAGUCGUUUCUCCUUCACAAUGCUUUUCACCUGGUUGGCCAGUUUCACCGUCUCAGUAGACAAGCUAAAAGAAACUGUUGGCAGCCUCUCGUUGCUCCUGUAAUAUGACCGUCGCCAGACCAGAGAGUGGAACUGGAUGGCAGUGUGGCACUUGCAGCUGCAGUUUGUUUGCUUCAAGAUUUAAUACGUAUUGGACAGAGCACUCAACCAUUUCACUGUGAGUUAUACU